rnacentral:rRNA from 1 species
UGCAGUCGAGCGGCAACACGAGAGAGCUUGCUCUCUUGGUGGCGAGUGGCGGACGGGUGAGUAAUGUAUCGGAACCUGCCCAAUAGCGGGGGAUAACUACUCGAAAGAGUGGCUAAUACCGCAUACGCCCUACGGGGGAAAGGGGGGGAUCGCAAGACCUCUCACUAUUGGAGCGGCCGAUAUCGGAUUAGCUAGUUGGUGGGGUAAAGGCUCACCAAGGCAACGAUCCGUAGCUGGUUUGAGAGGACGACCAGCCACACUGGGACUGAGACACGGCCCAGACUCCUACGGGAGGCAGCAGGGGGGAAUUUUGGACAAUGGGGGAAACCCUGAUCCAGCCAUCCCGCGUGUGUGAUGAAGGCCUUCGGGUUGUAAAGCACUUUUGGCUGAGAAGAAAAGGGAUCCCCUAAUACCCUGAUACUGCUGACGGUAUCUGCAGAAUAAGCACCGGCUCACUACGUGCCAGCAGCCGCGGUAAUACGUAGGGUGCAAGCGUUAAUCGGAAUUACUGAGCGUAAAGCGUGCGCAGGCGGCUCGGAAAGAAAGAUGUGAAAUCCCAGGGCUCAACCUUGGAACUGCAUUUGUAACUGCCUAUCUAGAGUAUGUCAGAGGGGGGGUAGAAUUCCACGUGUAGCAGUGAAAUGCGUAGAUGAUGUGUAGGAAUACCGAUGGCGAAGGCAGCCCCCUGGGAUAGUACUGACGCUCACGCUGC